rnacentral:rRNA from 1 species
AACGUAGGAGGCAAGCGUUAUCCGGAGUUACUGGGCGUAAAGAGUGCGUAGGCGGACCUGUAAGUGGGUGGUGAAAGCGCUCGGCUAAACCGGGCGAGGUUCAUUCAGACUGCAGGUCUAGAGGCGGAUAGAGGGGUGCGGAAUUCCGGGUGUAGCGGUGAAAUGUGUAGAGAUCCGGAGGAACACCAGUGGUGGCAAACGGCGCCCCUGGGUCCGAACUGACGCUGGAAGCACGAAAGCCGUGGGGAGCGAACGGG